rnacentral:rRNA from 1 species
UACGAAGGGGGCUAGCGUUGUUCGGAAUCACUGGGCGUAAAGGGCGCGUAGGCGGCUGUUCAAGUCGGGGGUGAAAUCCCGUGGCUCAACCACGGAAUGGCCUUCGAUACUGGACGGCUCGAGACCGGAAGAGGUGAGUGGAACUGCGAGUGUAGAGGUGAAAUUCGUAGAUAUUCGCAAGAACACCAGUGGCGAAGGCGGCUCACUGGUCCGGUUCUGACGCUGAGGUGCGAAAGCGUGGGGAGCAAACAGG